GGUGGAUAGGGGCAGGUCUGCUCAUUCACUGCUGCCUUCCCCGCAUCUGGUACCGUGCACACAGAAUAAGCCUAGCAGAAUGCCUGUGGAUGGACUGACCAAUGAAAGUAAUGAGGUGCUGGGACCCGAAGGGCCAGGCGGGUUCAGGCACGUUCCUGGCGGAAGGUGCUCUGAUGCUGUGGAAGACAGUUUCUUCAUGGAUUCCAACUGCUUGAUUUGUGGGAAUGACUCAACCAUGCCUGUUCUCCCCCACCUUUGAUGAGGCAUCUGACACUGAGUUAAUUCAUUUGCAUGGUGUAGACUACAGUAAAUCCAGUGUUGGGACACUGUGUCAUCUUCUUUCUGAUUAUGAUGGUAACAAACGCUUGCCAUAGGAGACUGGAAAAAUCUAUCCUAUAGGAAUAUUGGAAAAUCUAUCCUGUAGGAAGAAAGAAAAAACUCACCUAAACUUGUACCAUACACUGUCAAAUCUGGGCACUUUUCCUUCUUUUUGUCUUUUUC
rnacentral:lncRNA from 1 species